rnacentral:rRNA from 1 species
UGGGGAAUAUUGGACAAUGGGCGAAAGCCUGAUCCAGCCAUGCCGCGUGUGUGAAGAAGGUCUUCGGAUUGUAAAGCACUUUAAGUUGGGAGGAAGGGCAUUAACCUAAUACGUUAGUGUUUUGACGUUACCGACAGAAUAAGCACCGGCUAACUCUGUGCCAGCAGCCGCGGUAAUACAGAGGGUGCAAGCGUUAAUCGGAAUUACUGGGCGUAAAGCGCGCGUAGGUGGUUUGUUAAGUUGGAUGUGAAAUCCCCGGGCUCAACCUGGGAACUGCAUUGAAAACUGACUGACUAGAGUAUGGUAGAGGGUGGUGGAAUUUCCUGUGUAGCGGUGAAAUGCGUAGAUAUAGGAAGGAACACCAGUGGCGAAGGCGACCACCUGGACUAAUACUGACACUGAGGUGCGAAAGCGUGGGGAGCAAACA